UGUGGGAGCUGGCUUGCCAGCGAUGGGGCCAGCCCAUUCGAUAAUGAUGUGUCUGAACUAUCGCCAUCGCUGGCAAGCCAGCUCCCACA
rnacentral:antisense_RNA from 1 species